rnacentral:lncRNA from 1 species
AGAAGAAGCCCUUCUAAACCCUUAAAUAGAAUAUCAUCCCCUUCCUGAUGCAUCAUGCUCCUUAAUAAUGUCCCUGCCAUAUAGUGUGCUGCUUCUUUGCUUGAGCCCUUUCUCUCUACAGUUCUAUUUGUUAGUAAUUUCUUUGAACCAGAAGAUACUCCCUAUAAUUUCUACUGAUCAGAUCUAGCUUCCCCUCUCUGAGAUACUGAGUAUAAGUCUAGGAUUUCAUAGCAUGCUCACAUAUGCCCUUGGAUUUUUCUAGGCAUUCCUCUGAUUGCCCUUUCCUACUUGAACCCAGUUUCGUCUUCCCAAAUGAAUCAGUCACCUGCAAAGAGAAUACAGAAUGUUCUAAGAGAAACAGAAUGAUUUGUUUUUUUAUAAAUAUUUUAUUUAUAUAUUUAUUGAGAGAGAGAGAGCACGAGCUGGGAAGAGAGGGAAGAAUCAGGCUCCCUGUGAGCAGGGAGCCGAUGUGGGGCUUGAUCCCAGGACCCUAGGAUCACGACCUGAACUGGAGGCAGACGCUUAACUGACUGAGCCACCCAGGUGUCCCAAACAGAAUGAUUUGUAAUAAGACAGUUGGUUGCACAGGGGCUGAAGGAGGCUGAGAAGAAUCCCUGAGGUAACCAGAAGAUUAGAAACAGCAGGAAAGUUAACACCAUCCUACCCUUAGAAGGGAAAGGGUGGUAGUAUUAGAGUCUGAGGACCUGGGUCACCAGUUAGAACCACAAAAAGCCUUUGCAUCAGGGGCUGGAGCCAUGGAAGGGAAACUUCUAGGAACAGGGAGCCAGGAAAAGAAGAACCCUGGCUUCUCUCUUGUCCUGACCCCCUCCAAUCUCUGAGCAAUGCUUCCUCUUAAUUAAAUUCAGUGGAAACCUAGCCAAGGGCCAGUCUCUGCCCUCUGUGAAAAAUGCGUUUUCAUCGGUAAGCAGCAGGUGAAUAGUUAAACCCACCUUGGUUGGGAGACGCAUCAUUGUGAUCUCUGCUUCUGCUGUAACAGGGCAUUCUCCCUGUGUGUCCAUCUUCCUAUCAUCUUCCAUCUUUGUGUAAAGACCUGAGUCAUAACAGAUGAAGGGAUCACCUUACUUUGUAUGAUCUCAUUGUAUCUAGCAUGUCUACAACAAUCUAUUUCCAAAUGAGGUCACAUUCUGAGAUACCAAGGGUUAGGACUUCAACAUAUCUUUUUGAAGAACACAAUUCAACCCAUAACAAGAAUCUUUGGGAUACAGAUGGUAAUUCAAACCAUGAGACUAGAGAGGAGCCCAUUUCACUAACCCCUAGGGAGUGAGUGGAAGGGAGAUCAGAGAUCUAGCUUGGUUGGGAAUGACAUCUUGGAGAAUUGAGUGGAUGGGGAGAGACAGCAAAGGAGCCUGGAGAGAGAGCAGUGAGUGAGACAGGAGGCAAUGUGGGAGCAUCUGGGGUCCUGGAAGCCAGAGGAGGAAAGGAGACAGGGAGCUGAGGAGCGGCUGAGGCCAAUGCUGCUGGCAGAUCAA